rnacentral:lncRNA from 1 species
GAGGUGGGCAGAGGUGGGCAGUGAGGCGGGCAGUGAGGUGGACAGUGAGGCGGGCAGUGAGGUGGGCAGUGAGGCGGGCAGUGAGGUGGGUAGUGAGGUGGACAGUGAGGCGGGCAGUGAAGUGGGCAGUGAGGUGGGCAGUGAGGUGGGCAGUGAGGCGGGCAGUGAGGUGGCUUGAGAGUAGCGCUCACCACAUGCCAUUGUCUCUGCUCUGCUCAUUCACCUUCUAUAGCAGCAGGACCCCAUUCUCUGUAGGAGUGGGUCUAGA